UAUUUGAACUUUCCUAGAAAUGAAUAUUCACUGUUCCAUUUUGAUGGUGUGUUCAGUUAACCUUGAUUAUUUUGUGCUAAAUUUGUUGCUCAUCAUAACUGAAUAUUUGAACUAGUAGUCGGAAUCAGUUCCAGAAUUAGCUAGGUUCAAGAUCAUGGAUGCUAAUUUUUGUUUCUAAAUCUCUCUUGUUGAAAUCUGCAGGAUAGUAUGAGGUGUUGGCGUGGCUAUGAGGAGGACUCGAGUUCUUUGCUGCUCUCAUUGUGCCCGUCGCUGUGAAUGACAAGGCCUCCAAGAUCCCAUUUGCUGUGGUGCUCUUUGCAGAGAUGGUUAUGGGACAUAUGCUGCUGGACUUCUGGAUCAAACUAUCAGAUGAUCCAGUAAGUAGUAUUCACCAGCAUGGCUCAAAGUGAAAAGUCAAGGUUUAGUUCUCAUAGAAUGGCAUGAGGUUCAUCUUAUGUACUAAUUCAGAUUAGUAGUGUUA